rnacentral:lncRNA from 1 species
AUUCAAAGCCUUUGUUACACUAUUUAUGACUCACACUUAGUAAUGCUCACCCAAUUACCUUUCCUAGUAUAUCUUCAUCUUGUUUAAGUGUAUGAGAACUGCUUUGGAGAUUCUAAUAAGUCCAAAUGAGCAUUAAAAAGGAGAGAGAGUAGGAGAAGUAUCUCUUGAGAAAGAUUAAAAAGCGAGCACAGGCUGAGUGUAGUGGGUCACACCUGUAGUCUCAGCACUUUGGGAGGUCGAGGUAGGCAGAUUGCUGGAGCUCAGGAGUUCGAGACCAGCCUGGACAACAUGGCAAAAUCCUGUUUCUACAAAAGGACUGUUUUGUAUUUGAUUGGGAAGUGUUAGAAUGGCAACAGUGACAAAUCCUGCGGCAAAUCUUCUUGCAAAGGCCUUUGGUGUUUCUUUCAUUUCAUAUAUGUUACCUACUAUGUGACAAGCACACUGUGCCAGGUUCCAAAUAUAAAAAGAGUAAAUUAAGGAAUGCAUUAUAGCUGUUAAAGCAAUCUUAAGGGAAAUCCGAAGCUUCCACUGCAGCACCAUGCUUAGUAAAACCAACUGGAUAAUAU